GUUAAAUUUUGGCUAAAAACUGGAUAAUAAUAAUUGGAAGAUCACUUGGAACGCUUUGAAAAUAAAUAAAAGAUGAUCGGAAUUUAAAAAGUAAAUAUUAUAAAGUAAUAACAUGAUGAGCCUCCCAAAAAUACUACUUCCUAUAGGAGAAAUAUGCUCCAAGAUUUGCUAAUGAGAAACAUUGUGUGUCAUUGAUUCCAGAAGGUUUCGUGUCUCCCUCUGUAGCAUUGUUUUGCUUGGGAAUCGCAGAAAAUGCCCACAGAAUGAGUCAGUGGCAAAAAAACAAAAAAACAUCACAGCCAGGGAGUAGAUCUGUCACAGCCGGAGAGACUGACGGGGCGUCACAGAAACAAAUCCCUCCACCCCGCUCUCGGUUCCCUCCUCCUCCUCCUGUAGGUGUCUGUGUAGCCGUCAAGUGGCUGUUAUCCGACAGUUUACUGACCUGUUUGAGCGUGAGAAAAACCAUCUUCUAUUCUGCCAGACUGGCUGAAUAAUAUUUUAAGGAAUGAUCUGAUGAUUGUUGUCAAUCUUUCUACACUCACAGUGGGAAAAAAAUGUGUAAUUUAAAAAAAAGGAUCCUUUCUUGUGAAAAUCAACAUAAAUAUAGGACAUCUGAGAUGCCAAAGGACUCGCUGUCUCCUUGACGACGGUUUCCAAGCAACCGUUGCUCCUCAAAGCAUUCCUCCAACCCCAUCUCUCCGUUUCGUUCUCUCUUAAACCUGUUUUCUUUGCCAGUUUGUCUUCCUCUCCAGAGCCCUCCAAUGCAUGCAGUCCAGAGAGAUAAUGCACACGCAUUAGUACUCGCAGUUAUUUGAUGCGAUCUCGUGGGGCUGCAGGAUUUCAGACCCACACGUUUGCCAAGUUGUGAGUGUGUCACAGUGCGCUGAGGUCGUGGCAGGAGCGGGAUUUCUGACGGAAGAUCUUGCUUCCCCGGUGCCGGCUCAUUUCCCUGUAGCGGCCCCGAUCGCGGUCCCGGCCGUACGAUCGGGGCACCAGGCCGGCCAGGAAGCGCUUGGCCCGGCUCGUCAGACUCUCUCUGCGUCCAGCUCCCGGGUCGCCGUCCAUCCAACCGGGACCCACACAGUCCCCUCUGGCCGUCCGCACCGCCGCCUCCAGCAGCUCGUUGGUGCCGUGGUCCAAAGAAGCCGAGAGCUCCAGGUAGACGCAGUCGAACAUCAUGGCGCUGGACUGGGCCUCUGUUGAGAGAGGAUAUAAACUUAGUGAAAUGAGGAGGCAGCUGCAGAUGCCACGCCGGCGCGGCAGCUUUACAUUCUGUCUUGGCAGAAGCGGAACAACCCAGCUGCUGGGUGAUGUGUGCCACCAUUACAUAAAGCGGCUGCUGUUGGGGGACUCGAUUUGCAUCGUAAGUGUCAAUCUUGUCAUGGCAAAUUGAGAAAAAUUGAGUCAGUCUACAGCUUUUCACUGUAGGGAUGCUACCCCUGUCUGUUACAUUCGCUUUGGCAGACGGAACAAACGACACCACAGACAUCCAUGGACCAGUUUAGGCUUUUAAAUAGAGUAAGCCAAAAUAAAAGCAAUUUAAUUAUUCAGAACACAUCUAAUGAACACAUCUUUAUUCUCAUGAAUUAUUUUUUUGAAUAAUAAAGACUACUAACAUUAAA